UACGUAGGUCCCGAGCGUUGUCCGGAUUUAUUGGGCGUAAAGCGAGCGCAGGUGGUUUAUUAAGUCUGGUGUAAAAGGCAGUGGCUCAACCAUUGUAUGCAUUGGAAACUGGUAGACUCGAGUGCAGGAGAGGAGAGUGGAAUUCCAUGUGUAGCGGUGAGAUGCGUAGAUAUAUGGAGGAACACCGGUGGCGAAAGCGGCUCUCUGGCCUGUAACUGACACUGAGGCUCGAAAGCGUGGGGAGCAAACAGG
rnacentral:rRNA from 1 species